AAUGAACGCUGGCGGCAUGCCUAACACAUGCAAGUCGAACGAGACCUCAGGGACAAGUGGCGCUUGCGUGUGUCACGUGUGGGAAGCUUCACUUAGGCAUGGAAUAACUCUCUGACAGGGGUGAUAAUAUCGGAAAAUGUCUUCUAACAAAAGAUAUAUCGUACUUGUUUGGGCACGCGUUGGAUUAGCUUGUUGGUAUGGUAAAAGCCUAUCAAGGCGACGAUCCAUAGCUGGUUUGAGAGGAUGAUCAGCCACACUGGGACUGAGACACGGCCCAGACUCCUACGGGAGGCAGCAGUGGGGAAUAUAGGACAAUGGGCUAAAGCCUGAUCCAGCAAUGCCGCGUGAGUGAUGAAGGCCGUAGGGUUGUAAAGCUCUUUUACCCGGGAUGAUAAUGACAGUACCGGGAGAAUAAGCUCCGGCUAACUCCGUG
rnacentral:rRNA from 1 species